rnacentral:tRNA from 1 species
GUUUUAGUAAUUUAAUAAAAAAUACUGGUCUUGUACACCAGAAAAGAAAUUCUAACUUUCCUAAUACU